rnacentral:misc_RNA from 1 species
AUUGACCUUCACAUUAGCAACGGAGCGAAGACAAUUAUAGAGAAUUGCAGGUUCAGAUCAAAAUGUCAACGUUUAGAUGUAAAGAAAAGCCUGUUUCAGAUAUAUGCUAACAGGGAACAUAUACAUCAUAUAGAGCCCAAUACCCAUAGAACCUCGGAGACGCAUUCAACGGGAACAGAAGCGCAUUGUCAGAUAUGCCGGAUAAAAAAGUUUUUCUGUUUUCUCUCCUUGUUCUAUUAAUUGGCAUUCUUAUCUACUAUAACUAUACGAUCUACAAAACAGAAACUGAGAUUCUUCACACCGCAAAAGACGAGAGCAGUCCAAAUGAACAGGGGCAUGUUUCUCAAACUGAAAACGACAUUCACAAACAAACACAUCAUGCAAAUGUGUUAAACUCUAAAUCUGAUCUAGCUGACGAAAUUGAAGGCACAAGUGAUCAUAUACACGAAACAGCCCAAGAUUACAAAACUGAAACUAUUCAGAGCAAAAAUAGUGCGUUGAUUCCGGACAGCUCCAAUGUGACACACGAAAGUUUCCUUGCAGAUCUGCAGUUAUUAAAAGAACAAGUUGAAGAUAUUUUACAAAUACAAACAAAACAUGAAAUGAGCACAACUAAUAAAUUAGAAAUGGAAAACGCUCUUGAAAACCUCAAGAUUGAACUCUACAACAAUAUAAAUUUCACAGUGCAUUUGUCGAACAAGAUAAAAAACAUGACUGACACGAAGUUCGCUCACUUUUCCAAGACACUGAGCGAUCUGGACAAUGAAAGUAAAGUAAGAUUAAAAGAACUGCAAAAAUCUUUAAGUAUUUUUACCACUGAAACACAAGACAAUGUACGUGAACUCCGUGAAUUUGUGAAAAGGUUAUACGCAGAGGUAGAAGAAGAUUUCAAAGUGAGAAUAGAAAAUGUUAAUGAGCAACUAAAAGAUGUUCAAAAUAACAGGAAAGCGGCUGACCAAAGAAUAUAUGAACUACAGCAGUUGAUAGAGAACAGGAUAUUUCCAAACACGUUCAAUAAAGAUGUUGCUGUUAUUGUUUUUCUGGCUGUCGUUGCGUUUGUUUUAUUUCUAACAGUCUGUGUUUACACUCUACGUUCCGCACUAGAGGAGUCAAAAUCCGAUAUUGCUACACUCAAGAAAGAACUGAAAGGUUUGGAAGCAACUUUGAAGCAAGAACAUUCAUACGGUACAGGAGGAAAUGAAGUACCGGGGAGGAUGUCAUAGUUUACUCCAUUUGUUGUUGGAUUCAAUAAAAGUUUAGUUUGAUACUCUUGGGAGAAAUGCAAUUGACAGCUUUUCAUGGAAAUACAGGCUGGAUUACAUUACCUAGGCCAGGGUUUGCCAUCAUUGUUGACGGUCAAGAGAAUAAUAAGAAGAUAGUAGGCUACAACUGACUGGCAUUUCAAUAGAGAGAAACCACUCCGAGGUAUCAAAAGUAAGUCAUGAAACAAAUACACCAAAUACGUCCAAAAGAUACGGAUACGGACCAGGAAACUAUGAAGUCAGACGUGCCCAGCCUUUGGAAAGGGAAGCGGUUUCAGUUGAUGAUAUUGAUUGGCCAAAAAAAGAAAGUAUCUCCAAUUUAGCCCCAGGCAGACUCAAUGUUCACAACAGUCUUCAUGUAAGUGUAUACUCGGGCUCAUAUUGCGUUAUUGCUUUAUUUCAAAUUUGUUAUUUACCUCCGCUUAUUCAUGAUAAGAAAAUAGAUUUCUCGUAUUAUAAAUCAGUCCCCUGAAGAUUAUCAUUAUUCAUAAAAAGUGGCCUUUAUACAAGCAUUUCUUUGAUUUUCAUAUACAAUCGGACUCAUGCCACGAAUGUACUACCGCCUUAGAUUCCCUGCAGUUUGUAAGCAAGUUAAGUCAGCGCCAGGUAAUACG